rnacentral:lncRNA from 1 species
GGGAGAGAGGCGCCGACGAAGAGAGAAAGCAGAGUAAAAUGAAAAAAUGAAUUAGGGAUUAGGGUUACUUCACUUAAUUUUGUUAAUAUAGCUAAUCGGGUUCGGGUAACGGGUAUCCGAGCACCUAUUCCCGAACCCUACCCGAAUCCGAGACGGGUAGCAUUUUUCAAACCCGAACCCGCCCAAAUCCGUUUUAUAAAAACUCAAAUCCGUCCUAAUAGGGUUUGGGCGGAUCGGGUACCCGCAAAAACCCGCCCGACUGACAUCCCUAAUC